GGGUUUGAGGUCUAUAUGGGAUCCUGGGGUCUAUGGGGUGGGAUUUGAGGUCUAUAUGGGGUCUAUGGGGUCGGAUUUGGGGUCUAUACGGGAUCUAUACGGGAUUUGGGGUCUAUGGGUUUGGAUUUGGGGUCUAUAUGGGGUCUACAGAGUGGGAUUUGAGGUCUAUAUGGGAUCCUGGGGUCUAUGGGGUGGGAUUUGGGGUCUAUAUGGGAUCCUGGAGUCUAUGGGGUGGGCUUUAGGGUCUAUAUGGGGUCUAUGGGGUCGGAUUUGGGGUCUAUAUGGGGUCUAUGGGGUGGGAUUUGAGGUCUAUAUGGGAUCCUGGGGUCUAUGGGGUGGGAUUCGGGGUCCAUAUGGGGAACUAGGGGAGUCUAUGGGGUGGGAUUUGAGGUCUAUAUGGGGUCUAUGGGGUGGGAUUUGAGGUCUAUAUGGGAUCCUGGGGUCUAUGGGGUGGGAUUUGAGCUCUAUAUGGGGUCUAUGGGGUCGGAUUUGGGGUCUAUACGGGAUCUAUACAGGAUUUAGGGUCUAUGGGGAGGGCUUUGGGGUCUAUAUGGGGUGUAUGGGGUGGGAUUUGAGGUCUAUAUGGGGUCUAUGGGGUGGGAUUUGAGGUCUAUAUGGGGUCUAUGGGGUGGGAUUUGAGGUCUAUAUGGGAUCCUGGGAUCUAUGGGGUGGGAUUCGGGGUCCAUAUGGGGAACUAUGGGAGUCUAUGGGGUGGGAUUUGAGGUCUAUAUGGGGUUUAUGGGGUGGGAUUUAGGGUCUAUAUGGGGUGUAUGGGGUGGGAUUUGGGGUCUAUAUGGGGUCUAUGGGGUGGGAUUUGGGGUCUAUAUGGGAUCCUGGGGUCUAUGGGGUGGGAUUCGGGGUCCAUAUUGGGGGUCUAUGGGGUGGGAUUUGAGGUCUAUAUGGGGUUUAUGGGGUGGGAUUUGAGGUCUAU
ensembl:lncRNA